rnacentral:rRNA from 1 species
GACGAACGCUGGCGGCGUGCCUAAUACAUGCAAGUCGAGCGAAUUUACGAGAGCUUGCUCUCGUAAAUUAGCGGCGGACGGGUGAGUAACACGUGGGCAACCUGCCUAUAAGACUGGGAUAACUUCGGGAAACCGGAGCUAAUACCGGAUAAUUCACAUCUACUCAUGUAGAUGUGCUGAAAGACGGUUUACGCUGUCACUUAUAGAUGGGCCCGCGGCGCAUUAGCUAGUUGGUGAGGUAACGGCUCACCAAGGCCACGAUGCGUAGCCGACCUGAGAGGGUGAUCGGCCGCACUGGGACUGAGACACGGCCCAGACUCCUACGGGAGGCAGCAGUAGGGAAUCUUCCGCAAUGGACGAAAGUCUGACGGAGCAACGCCGCGUGAGUGAUGAAGGUUUUCGGAUCGUAAACUCUGUUGUUAGGAAGAACAAGUACCGGAGUAACUGCCGGCACCUUGACGGUACCUAACCAG